ACAUGUACUGUUUUUACCUAUUUUAUAUCACCUUUUCCAUCUUCACUAGUUAAUUUUUUGUUCGUUUAUUUAUUUUUUUUUAAGUUUAGAUUUUUAUUUUAUCAAUUUAUUUAUUUGUUCGUUUGUUUACAAAACAGCUAUGGUGAAUUUGAGAGUGAUGAAAUCGGUGCUCUUCUAUUCUACAAUUUGGGAUUUUUCCCCAGCCGUCUCUAGUUGUCAAUACAAUGGAAACCAUCACAUGGACAAGAAGAGGCACCCACACCUCUGAGUGGCUGAAUACACAAGUCUCUAUUAGUACUGCAGACACUGAACGAGUGAAGUUCUCUGUGAACAGAGCAGCAGGAGGCAGCGGCUUCACAGCCAUCGAUGACCUCAGAGUGACUGCAGGACUUUGUGCUGAACACAACCCGUCCUUUGAGCCCGAUGUGACUGACAGCUUUAUCUGGCUGAAUGCCACAGAUGGCAUUCAGAGCAGAAGUCAGUGCAAACUCUGAGUCAUUUGUUCUUCUGGAUGAUGUCUCAGGUAAAAAUGGAGCGUGUUCCCCUAAAGGAAGUUGUGAUUUUGAGUCAGGAAUGUGUACAUGGGUCAAUGUUGCUAAUGGUGUCACAGAUGGACAUGAUUGAAUUCAUGCAGACGGUCACUACAGAGGUCCGUUGGUCGAUUACACUACUCACACUGCAGAUGGCAAGUUUGUUUUGAGCCCAUCUCAGAGGAACACGCCAGGCCAUAAAAGCAGUUCUGUGCUGAUUUCAGAAAAGAUCCAGCCAUCCAGUGACUCCUGUUUUGAGUUCUGGUACCAAAUGAAUGGAAGUGACCCUGGGAUCCUUAGAGUGCUAUUAGAUUCAGGUGCAACAGAGCAAGAAUUGUUGUUUGAAACACAGUUCACUGGGAGCAACUGGAAAAAUGUCUCUGUCACUAUAGCUGAGACCCAGCCCUUUCAGAUUCAUAUAGAGGCUCAAACAGGCAGUGAAGGUUACAUUGCUGUGGAUGACAUUAGACUAACAAACGGGCCAUGUAAAGACAUCAGUGUGGAAAGUGGAGUGUUUGUUGGCUGCAACUUCGAGACAGACACCUGUGAAUGGAGAGAUAUCAGUGUUGGGCAGUUUGUUUGGGAACGGGACCAGAAUGGUACAAUCACCGCCAACACUGGGCCAUCAGUUGACCACACUACUGGAACAGAGCUAGAUACCUCCAAGUUAUUGGUGUUAAUCUGGCAUCUGGCAGCUUUAAGGUGACUGAAACCCUGUGACAGGAGGUUGUCCAGAUAAAGGCCAAAGGGAUGACCCUUUCAGCCAUUGGAGGAGAAGUUGGUCAUUCCAAAUCUGUGAUUUCUCAAAUAUUGCAGGUUUGCAAUGACACUAAUUCAUUCAAGUCCCCCAAAAGGGCUGGUCAUUCACACAAGACAAAAGCACAAGAACACAGGAUAAUGCAGAGACUCAAUGGGGAAUUGGUUCAACACUGCAGCUGGAAUUGCUUGGUGACAAAGUUAUGGCUAAGAAACCCACUACAGUUACCAAACUAUGGACGAGAGUGGAAGAAGAGUGGAUCAACAACUCAUUCAAAGCAAGGGACUCUACACUUCCUACUAAUAUCUGACAGCUGUAACCCUCCACAAUUUUAAUUUAAUCUUCUUUUUUUCUACAGUGGUUUCUGUUCUCUAAUUUUGACCACUGUGUUUUUCACAAAAUAAAUGUUUUUGUUGAAAUGCCUUGGAUAUUUUGUCAAACAUGGUAGUAGAGCAGUGAUAGGCUAUACCUACAGCUGAUACUCCUUCAAAUUUUAAGCUCUUAAGAUUAAGUCUUUUAGAAAAAAAUCAAGCAUUUAUAGAUUGUUCUGUGUUUUUGAUCUCCACUGUAUAUUAUACAAAAACAGAAUAUUAUCAGUGUCACCUAAAUAUUAAACACAUACUUAUCUAUGGAGAAAAUCAUGGAAUAUUUUCUUCAAAAGCCUAUAUUUCUUUUCAACUGAAGAAAGAAAAACAUGAACAUCUUGGAUGACAUCUUGGGUUUCACUUCCACGUGGGUGCAGGAAGUGCAGGCAAUCUCAGCCUGAUUCUGCAGAAGGGGGAGGAGGACAGGAAGCUGCUCUGGUCACGAUCCAGCAGCACUUCAACUCACUUACCACUAGGCAAACAAGACCAGCCUUACAGG